rnacentral:rRNA from 1 species
UACAGAGACCUCAAGCGUUAUCCGGAAUCAUUGGGCGUAAAGCGUACCGAUCGGUGGUUUUGCAAGUCAGAGGUGAAAUCUCAAGGCUCAACUUUGAGACUGUCCUUUGAAACUGCACAACUAGAGGGGCAAAGAGGAAGCUGGAACGAACGGUGUAGUAGUGAAAUGCGUUGAUAUCGUUCGGAACACCAAUAGCGAAGGCAGGCUUCUGGGUGCCACCUGACACUGCUAGGACGAAAGCGUGGGGAGCGAAUGGG